rnacentral:rRNA from 1 species
AGAGUUUUGAUCAUGGCUCAGGAUGAACGCUAGCUACAGGCUUAACACAUGCAAGUCGAGGGGCAGCAUAUUGGUAGCUUGCUACCAAUGAUGGCGACCGGCGCACGGGUGAGUAACGCGUAUCCAACCUUCCCCAUAGUAGGGCAUAGCCCGUAGAAAUGCGGAUUAAUACCCUAUGUAUUCCGAGGAUGACAUCUAACGAGGAACAAAGAUUCAUCGCUGUGCGAUGGGGAUGCGUCUGAUUAGGCAGACGGCGGGGUAACGGCCCACCGUACCGACGAUCAGUAGGGGUUCUGAGAGGAAGGUCCCCCACAUUGGAACUGAGACACGGUCCAAACUCC